CACGUAGGGCGCAAGCGUUGUCCGGAAUUAUUGGGCGUAAAGAGCUCGUAGGCGGUCUGUUGCGUCCGCUGUGAAAACUCGGGGCUUAACCCCGAGCCUGCAGUGGAUACGGGCAGACUAGAGGUAGGUAGGGGAGAAUGGAAUUCCCGGUGUAGCGGUGAAAUGCGCAGAUAUCGGGAGGAACACCGGUGGCGAAGGCGGCCCUCUGGACGGUGACUGACGCUGAGACGCGAAAGCGUGGGGAGCAAACAGG
rnacentral:rRNA from 1 species